ACGAGGUAGAUAGGUUGGAGGUGGAAGUGCAGCAAUGCAUGGAGCUGACCAAUACUAAUCGGUCGAGGGCUUAUCCAAAUU
rnacentral:rRNA from 1 species